GGCAACGGGUUUUGGUCCCGCUAUUUGGAGGUUUGAAUCCUUUCGUUCCCG
rnacentral:tRNA from 1 species